AGUUUACUUAGUAAAUCCUAAUCACAAAAUCGAAUUUCAAAAAAUGAACCUGAAAAUUGUUGCAUGUCUAUUUGUACUUCUGGUGAUUGGAUGCACGGGAAUAAGGGCAGAUUGUGAUCAGAUACCCGGAGAAACUAAGAAGGACACUACAUAUCAAAAUCCCAUAAAAUGGACGGCGCAGUCUCUCCAUUGGCUAGAAUAUCCGGAGAACGACGAUAUCAUUGAUAACAACGACGAGGCUGAUUUAUUCGAAUGAAGCGACCUGUCCUAAUAAAAUAUCUAUUCAGUUCUGAAUUUAUUAUUUUUCGAACAUAGAACAAACUAAAUAUAUUCUUAUGAAGCUCUGAAAUAGCCUUUGUAUCCAGUAAAAAUUAAAUCACUGAUUUUCUAUAGUAAAUGCUUCACUGUUAAAAUUCAAAACGUUAUAUAUUUGAUUAAUUUCAGUUUUCAAAGCUAUUUCAGAGCUUCCAAUAAUAAUCUUAUAUUC